AUUGAACGCUGGCGGCAGGCCUAACACAUGCAAGUCGAGCGGGGUUUUCGGACCUAGCGGCGGACGGGUGAGUAAUGCGUAGGAAGCUACCCGAUAGAGGGGGAUACCAGUUGGAAACGACUGUUAAUACCGCAUAAUGUCUACGGACCAAAGUGUGGGACCUUCGGGCCACAUGCUAUCGGAUGCGCCGACGUGGGAUUAGCUAGUUGGUGGGGUAAUGGCUCACUAAUGCGACGAUUCCUAGCUGGUUUGAGAGGAUGAUCAGCCACACUGAACCUGAGCCACGGACCAGAGUCCUACGGGAGGCAGCAGUGGGGAAUAUUGGACAAGGGGCGCAAGCCUGAUCCAGCCAUGCCGAGUGUGUGAAGAAGGCCUUCGGGUUGUAAAGCACUUUCAGUAGGGAGGAAGAGUCGAGUGUUAAUAGUACUCAGCUUUGACGUUACCUACAGAAGAAGCACCGGCUAACUCUGUGCCAGCCGCCGUCGUAAUAC
rnacentral:rRNA from 1 species